rnacentral:lncRNA from 1 species
GAUAAUUGGAAAAGUACAAGAAAGCAUGAGUUGAUGCCAAACAGUGGUUCCCAGAAAAGCUAGUGCAUUUGAGAGGCACUUUGAUGGUGUGUGACUUGGUUUAAGAAAUUGAAAGUCGACAUAAACCUUGCCUUAAUACUGCAGUCUGUGGAAGUCAUCGCCUUGAAGAAGGUGGGUUCUUAUUGUCCGUGCUGCGCUCAUUGCAAUUCAGACUGAAUGCCCCUACAUCAACAGUGGAUCUGACUUCGUCGCAUCGUGCACCCUUUUGAUAAAUACUGCUACUGCAAUGUGUUUGCACAAGGAACAAGCACGGGCUUUCUGAGGGGUGAGGGCUUGCAACACGCGAGGCUUGUGAGCUGUUAGACCAAACAUCUGGGACCUCCAGAAUGGCUGCAUUGAUGGAUCCAGCAGAAGUCACAAAGGCAAACUGGCAGCUGUAUCACUACCAG